AUUUUCUGCAAGCAUCUUUGGACUCGUCUGACAAUUUAUCUGAGCGUAGAAAUGCAUUAGAGGGUAAUAUAAGUCCAUACUUUAUGAAGAGUAUGACGCCUGCAUUUCGCCAGAAAGAUGGGGAACUUGCGUCUUAUAUGUCUCGACUGGCAUCUAUGGAAGCCAUCCGUGACUCCCUUGCUGAGGAGUUGGUUAAAAUGACUGCAGAGUGUGAAAAGCUACGUUCAGAAGCUUCCAUGCUGCCUGGCAUCCGAGCAGAGCUAGAUGCACUUAGGAGGAGACACUCGGCAG
rnacentral:misc_RNA from 1 species